rnacentral:rRNA from 1 species
UACGGAGGGUGCGAGCGUUGUCCGGAAUCACUGGGCGUAAAGGGCGCGUAGGUGGCCCCUUAAGUGUGUGGUGAAAGCCCGGGGCUCAACCCCGGGUCGGCCAUGCAAACUGGGGGGCUGGAGCACUGUAGAGGCAGGCGGAAUUCCGGGUGUAGCGGUGGAAUGCGUAGAGAUCGUAAGGAAGACCAGUGGCGAAGGCGAGUUUCUGGACAGUUACUGACGCUGAGGCACGAAGGCCAGGGGAGCAAACGGG